UUCUUAUCAAGAGCAGGUGGAGGGACAGGCCCGAUGAAACCCGGCAACCGGCGUUACAAACGCACGGUGCUAAUUCUUGCAGGAAGAUUUGUUGGAAUUCCAAACAAAUCCUUCUUGAGAGAUGAGAA
rnacentral:ncRNA from 2 species